CCUACGGGGUGCAGCAGUGGGGAAUAUUGGACAAUGGGCGAAAGCCUGAUCCAGCCAUGCCGCGUGUGUGAAGAAGGCCUUCGGGUUGUAAAGCACUUUCAGUGGGGAAGAAAGCCUUGGGGCUAAUACCCUCGAGGAAGGACAUCACCCACAGAAGAAGCACCGGCUAACUCCGUGCCAGCAGCCGCGGUAAUACGGAGGGUGCGAGCGUUAAUCGGAAUUACUGGGCGUAAAGCGCGCGUAGGCGGUCUGAUAAGCCGGUUGUAAAAGCCCCGGGCUCAACCUGGGAACGGCAUCCGGAACUGUCAGGCUAGAGUGCAGGAGAGGAAGGUAGAAUUCCCGGUGUAGCGGUGAAAUGCGUAGAGAUCGGGAGGAAUACCAGUGGCGAAGGCGGCCUUCUGGACUGACACUGACGCUGAGGUGCGAAAGCGUGGGUAGCAAACAGGAUUAGAUACCCUUGUAGUC
rnacentral:rRNA from 1 species